UAGUGUUACAGCUCUUUCAGAAUCUGUCUAGGAGGCUUUCCAGUUUUUGCAGGAAAGUCUCC
ensembl:snRNA U7 U7 small nuclear RNA